rnacentral:tRNA from 2 species
GGAGGGGUGGCUGAGUGGCCGAAAGCUCCGGUCUUGAAAACCGGUGUCCGGGCAACUGGACCGUGGGUUCAAAUCCCACCCCCUCCGCCA